rnacentral:lncRNA from 1 species
CCCUGGGAAGGGAUCUUUGGUUGGAGAUUCCUCUUUGAUGAAGCUUUAUCCUGCAAACCUAGACUCUUCUGAAACAGGAAGGCUACAACUCAGCCGUGCCAUUAACCCAGUUCUGCUGAGCUUUGGUCCAGUGCUCCAGCCUUCAAAGCCAUCCUUUCUGCUUGAGGACAGAGAUUCCGGAGACAAGCUCUUGAAACGACACGGCACACAAGGAGAACAGCAAAUGUGAUAGAGACUGGCAUGGCAUAAAUGUUAAAUACCAUCAAAAAUAUUCAUUAGUAGUGUGUAAAAGUAUAGAACCAGCCAAUCUGUGCAUGCCCACAGAUCUGCUAUUGCUGGUCAGUUGGAGUCCCAGAGAAGUCAGCAUUACAAGCCCUAACGCUCCGUGCGUAACGCUGCAGUGGGGCUGGAUGCACUAAUUACAU